GUUGGAUAUGGAGAUAUGGCCCCUAAAACCUACAUUGGGAUGUUCGUUGGUGCCCUUUGUGCUCUUGCCGGUGUCUUAACCAUCGCCCUACCGGUCCCAGUCAUUGUCAGCAAU
rfam:Lutzomyia longipalpis Contig26601, whole genome shotgun sequence.